AAAUCCAUGUUUGUAAAUUACACUGUAAGCGUGUGUGCAUCAUCGACUAAGACAUAGAAUAGAAAUCAACUGAAAUACCAUAUUUAAAACGUGAUCGACGCUACUUAAGAAGACUAUCCACGGAUUGAUACAAUGGAUGAAGAAUGCAUCAAGCCUCAGUCUUCUCAUCCGAAUGAUUCUCGAAAUAGUGAACAUCCAAAAGACUAUCCACGGAUUGAUACAAUGGAUGAAGAAUGCAUCAAGCCUCAGUCUUCUCAUCCGAAUGAUUCUCGAAAUAGUGAACAUCCAAAAG